GCGGGCGUAGCUCAAUGGUAGAGCACUAGCUUCCCAAGCUCGGGACGAGGGUUCGAUUCCCUUCGCCCGCU
rnacentral:tRNA from 1 species